ACAAACUUGGUCAUUUAGAGGAAGUAAAAGUCGUAACAAGGUCUCCGUUGGUGAACCAGCGGAGGGAUCAUUAUAGAGUGUUACAACUCCCAAACCCUUUGUGAACCAUACCUACAGUUGCUUCGGCGGGACUGCCCCGGCGCCUCAGCGCGCCGGAACCAGGCGCCCGCCGGGGGACCGAAACUCUUGAUUCCGCCAGCGGUUUCUUCUCUGAGUGGCACAAGCAAAAAUAAAUCAAAACUUUCAACAACGGAUCUCUUGGUUCUGGAAUCGAUGAAGAACGCAGC
rnacentral:misc_RNA from 1 species